CUUCAGCCUCUUCUUCCUGGCCACAAUGACCUCCGUCUCUGUGAUGUAAAAGCCAGUUCUACACAGAUUCUCUGGUGGUUUGCUGGUUGUGUAGCACAGAGACAUGCUUUUACAGAUUAACAGUACACAAACCCCAUAAAACCAACUUACACUGUGUCACUAUGGCAUAACCCAGAUGUGAUCCCACCAUCCAGAACUGCUACCAGCAAAGAGCAGCCUAAUUAUAACUCCCUUUGUAUUGGGUGUUUGGAGUUUCCUGACAAAACAGCUUCUCUAAUAGCUACAAAAAUAUCAGAGAAGCUAAAGGCACUCCCGGCCAUUGGAGACUACACAGCACUUUCUAAAAACUGUGCUGCACAACAAGAGAGUCAAAGGUUUGACAGACUGUCAGGAAACCCAAGGCAGUUUCAGAAGCCAACAGUGCUCAGGGAAAGUUCAGAGGCAGCCACCAGCUCACCCCACAGUGUCCAGGGACUGAAGCAGAUGAUUCCAAGCUGUGCUCUGCUGUGCAGUGGAAGUGCAGAGGCAGACAAAGAUCACCCUCAAGGCAUGAACAUCAUCUGGGAACACUGGCUGAGCUUGGGCCACCUCAACCGGGUCUCACAGCUGCAGUGCUCCAGACAGCCCUGCAGCCCUUAUCUACGGGUGUUUGUCUCUUCAGCAGAGGAAGCAGGGCCGGCAGUGGCCCCCAGGUUCAGAUGGAUUCGCUAACACGUCCCUGCUAUUUUACCAGCCUGGGAUAGACAGUAAGAUUGGGCCUUUUCAGCAUGCAGACAUGAUCCUUGAACUUUCAGAAAUGUGAGGUAUCAGCCCUGAGGAGGAAAACAAUAAAAAU
rnacentral:lncRNA from 12 species